GCUUACAACAGUUUCCAAAUCCUCAAGAAGUUUCUCGUUGGCGCGACGGUUUUCUGGGCCGCCA
rnacentral:sRNA from 1 species